GAUGAACGCUGGCGGCGUGCCUAAUACAUGCAAGUCGAGCGAACAGACGAGGAGCUUGCUCCUCUGACGUUAGCGGCGGACGGGUGAGUAACACGUGGAUAACCUACCUAUAAGACUGGGAUAACUUCGGGAAACCGGAGCUAAUACCGGAUAAUAUAUUGAACCGCAUGGUUCAAUAGUGAAAGACGGUUUUGCUGUCACUUAUAGAUGGAUCCGCGCCGCAUUAGCUAGUUGGUAAGGUAACGGCUUACCAAGGCAACGAUGCGUAGCCGACCUGAGAGGGUGAUCGGCCACACUGGAACUGGGACACGGUCCAGACUCCUACGGGAGGCAGCAGUAGGGAAUCUUCCGCAAUGGGCGAAAGCUUGACGGAGCACCGCCGCGUGAGUGAUGAAGGUCUUCGGAUCGUAAAACUCUGUUAUUAGGGAAGAACAAAUGUGUAAGUAACUAUGCACGUCUUGACGGUACCUAAUCAGAAAGCCACGGCUAACUACGUG
rnacentral:rRNA from 1 species